rnacentral:rRNA from 1 species
UACGUAGGGACCAAGCGUUGUUCGGAUUUACUGGGCGUAAAGGGCGCGUAGGCGGCAAAUUAAGUCAUCUGUGAAAUCUCCGAGCUUAACUCGGAACGGUCAGGUGAUACUGAUCUGCUAGAGUGCGGAAGGGGCAAUCGGAAUUCUUGGUGUAGCGGUGAAAUGCGUAGAUAUCAAGAGGAACACCUGAGGUGAAGACGGGUUGCUGAGCCGACACUGACGCUGACAGCGCGAAAGCCAGGGGAGCAAACGGG